rnacentral:lncRNA from 1 species
AUAGACAACCCAAGAGGGGGGGUGAAUUGGGUUUUAAAUUAAUUUAGAUAUUUAAAACUUUAAGGAUGAUUAAUUAAAAACUAUUGCAAGUUAUUUAAUUAAUGCUAAGUGCUGUGAGUGAUGUGAGAGGAAGAAGAGAAGAGACAAUCCAAUGCAAACACAGAGUUUUAUAGUGGUUCGGAGCUACCCCUUGCUCCUACGUCCACUCCCUAAGUCUCUUUUGGGAAUUCACUAUAACCUCCUUGGAUUACAGCUGGUUGUUUUGCAAGCUCACAACCAAACUUGUUGUUUUACGAGCUCACAACGAACUCGGUCGGUUUUCCCAGGCUCACCGACUAGAACCAACCCCGAUUGUUUUUCCGGGCUCACAAUCAAACCCUUACACACGUUGGUUUUAACUUGGCUCACCAACCAAC